rnacentral:rRNA from 1 species
UUAAGCGACUAAGCGUACACGGUGGAUGCCCUGGCAGUCAGAGGCGAUGAAGGACGUGCUAAUCUGCGAAAAGCGUCGGUAAGGUGAUAUGAACCGUUAUAACCGGCGAUGUCCGAAUGGGGAAACCCAGUGUGAUUCGUCACACUAUCGUUAACUGAAUACAUAGGUUAACGAGGCGAACCGGGGGAACUGAAACAUCUAAGUACCCCGAGGAAAAGAAAUCAACCGAGAUUCCCCCAGUAGCGGCGAGCGAACGGGGAGCAGCCCAGAGUCUGAAUCAGCUUGUGUGUUAGUGGAACGGUCUGGAAAGUCCGACGGUACAGGGUGAUAGUCCCGUACACCAAAAUGCACAGGCUGUGAACUCGAAGAGUAGGGCGGGACACGUGGUAUCCUGUCUGAAUAUGGGGGACCAUCCUCCAAGGCUAAAUACUCCUGACUGACCGAUAGUGAACCAGUACCGUGAGGGAAAGGCGAAAAGAACCCCGGCGAGGGGAGUGAAAAAGAACCUGAAACCGUGUACGUACAAGCAGUGGGAGCACCUUCGGGUGUGACUGCGUACCUUUUGUAUAAUGGGUCAGCGACUUAUAUUCUGUAGCAAGGUUAACCGUAUAGGGGAGCCGCAGGGAAACCGAGUCUUAACUGGGCGUUAAGUUGCAGGGUAUAGACCCGAAACCCGGUGAUCUAGCCAUGGGCAGGUUGAAGGUUGGGUAACACUAACUGGAGGACCGAACCGACUAAUGUUGAAAAAUUAGCGGAUGACUUGUGGCUGGGGGUGAAAGGCCAAUCAAACCGGGAGAUAGCUGGUUCUCCCCGAAAGCUAUUUAGGUAGCGCCUCGUGAAUUCAUCUUCGGGGGUAGAGCACUGUUUCGGCUAGGGGGUCAUCCCGACUUACCAACCCGAUGCAAACUACGAAUACCGAAGAAUGUUAUCACGGGAGACACACGGCGGGUGCUAACGUCCGUCGUGAAGAGGGAAACAACCCAGACCGCCAGCUAAGGUCCCAAAGUCAUGGUUAAGUGGGAAACGAUGUGGGAAGGCACAGACAGCCAGGAUGUUGGCUUAGAAGCAGCCAUCAUUUAAAGAAAGCGUAAUAGCUCACUGGUCGAGUCGGCCUGCGCGGAAGAUGUAACGGGGCUAAACCAUGCACCGAAGCUGCGGCAGCGACACUAUGUGUUGUUGGGUAGGGGAGCGUUCUGUAAGCCUGCGAAGGUGGCCUGUGAGGGUUGCUGGAGGUAUCAGAAGUGCGAAUGCUGACAUAAGUAACGAUAAAGCGGGUGAAAAGCCCGCUCGCCGGAAGACCAAGGGUUCCUGUCCAACGUUAAUCGGGGCAGGGUGAGUCGACCCCUAAGGCGAGGCCGAAAGGCGUAGUCGAUGGGAAACAGGUUAAUAUUCCUGUACUUGGUGUUACUGCGAAGGGGGGACGGAGAAGGCUAUGUUAGCCGGGCGACGGUUGUCCCGGUUUAAGCAUGUAGGCUGGUUGUCCAGGCAAAUCCGGAUAAUCAAGGCUGAGGUGUGAUGACGAGGCACUACGGUGCUGAAGUAACAAAUGCCCUGCUUCCAGGAAAAGCCUCUAAGCAUCAGGUAACAUUAAAUCGUACCCCAAACCGACACAGGUGGUCAGGUAGAGAAUACCAAGGCGCUUGAGAGAACUCGGGUGAAGGAACUAGGCAAAAUGGUGCCGUAACUUCGGGAGAAGGCACGCUGGUGUGUAGGUGAAGCCCUGCGGGGAGCUGAGACCAGUCGAAGAUACCAGCUGGCUGCAACUGUUUAUUAAAAACACAGCACUGUGCAAACACGAAAGUGGACGUAUACGGUGUGACGCCUGCCCGGUGCCGGAAGGUUAAUUGAUGGGGUUAUCCGUAAGGAGAAGCUCUUGAUCGAAGCCCCGGUAAACGGCGGCCGUAACUAUAACGGUCCUAAGGUAGCGAAAUUCCUUGUCGGGUAAGUUCCGACCUGCACGAAUGGCGUAAUGAUGGCCAGGCUGUCUCCACCCGAGACUCAGUGAAAUUGAACUCGCUGUGAAGAUGCAGUGUACCCGCGGCAAGACGGAAAGACCCCGUGAACCUUUACUAUAGCUUGACACUGAACAUUGAGCCUUGAUGUGUAGGAUAGGUGGGAGGCUUUGAAGCGUGGACGCCAGUCUGCGUGGAGCCAACCUUGAAAUACCACCCUUUAAUGUUUGAUGUUCUAACGUUGGCCCCUUACCGGGGUUGCGGACAGUGUCUGGUGGGUAGUUUGACUGGGGCGGUCUCCUCCCAAAGCGUAACGGAGGAGCACGAAGGUUAGCUAAUCCUGGUCGGACAUCAGGAGGUUAGUGCAAUGGCAUAAGCUAGCUUGACUGCGAGCGUGACGGCGCGAGCAGGUGCGAAAGCAGGUCAUAGUGAUCCGGUGGUUCUGAAUGGAAGGGCCAUCGCUCAACGGAUAAAAGGUACUCCGGGGAUAACAGGCUGAUACCGCCCAAGAGUUCAUAUCGACGGCGGUGUUUGGCACCUCGAUGUCGGCUCAUCACAUCCUGGGGCUGAAGUAGGUCCCAAGGGUAUGGCUGUUCGCCAUUUAAAGUGGUACGCGAGCUGGGUUUAGAACGUCGUGAGACAGUUCGGUCCCUAUCUGCCGUGGGCGCUGGAGAAUUGAGGGGGGCUGCUCCUAGUACGAGAGGACCGGAGUGGACGCAUCACUGGUGUUCGGGUUGUCAUGCCAAUGGCACUGCCCGGUAGCUAAAUGCGGAAGAGAUAAGUGCUGAAAGCAUCUAAGCACGAAACUUGCCCCGAGAUGAGUUCUCCCUGAGACUUUAAGUCUCCUGAAGGAACGUUAAAGACGAUGACGUUGAUAGGCCGGGUGUGUAAGCGCAGCGAUGCGUUGAGCUAACCGGUACUAAUGAACCGUGAGGCUUAACCUU